rnacentral:rRNA from 1 species
AUGGAAAAAAGGGGCUUCAGUGCGCGAUGGAGAGAUUGGAUAGCACUGUUGCUGUCCUCCUCCUCUUCGUCCUUCCUCCUCAAUGGCAUCCCCGGAAAGAAGGUUCGGCACCAGAGAGGCCUACGGCAGGGUGACCCACUGUCACCUUUCCUCUUUAUCCUGGCGAUCGACACACUGCACCACCUUCUA